rnacentral:rRNA from 1 species
AUUGAACGCUGGCGGCAUGCCUAACACAUGCAAGUCGAACGGUAACGCGGAGAGCUUGCUCUCUGGCGACGAGUGGCGGACGGGUGAGUAAUACUUAGGAAUCUGCCCAGUAGUGGGGGACAACUCGGGGAAACUCGAGCUAAUACCGCAUACGCCCUACGGGGGAAAGCGGGGGAUCUUCGGACCUCGCGCUAUUGGAUGAGCCUAAGUCGGAUUAGCUAGUUGGUGGGGUAAAGGCCUACCAAGGCGACGAUCCGUAGCUGGUCUGAGAGGACGAUCAGCCACACUGGGACUGAGACACGGCCCAGACUCCUACGGGAGGCAGCAGUGGGGAAUAUUGGACAAUGGGGGCAACCCUGAUCCAGCAAUGCCGCGUGUGUGAAGAAGGCCUGCGGGUUGUAAAGCACUUUCAGUAGAGAAGAAAAGCUUACGGUUAAUACCCGUGAGUCUUGACGUAACCUACAGAAGAAGCUCCGGCUAACUCCGUGCCAGCCGCCGCCGUAACAC